rnacentral:rRNA from 1 species
AUUGAACGAUGGCGGCAGGCCUAACACAUGCCAGUCGAGCGGAGCGGCGGACGGGUGAGUAAUGCCUAGGAAUCUGCCUGGUAGUGGGGGAUAACGUCCGGAAACGGGCGCUAAUACCGCAUACUAUCAGAUGAGCCUAGGUCGGAUUAGCUAGUUGGUGGGGUAAAGGCGUACCAAGGCGACGACCCUUAACUGGUCUGAGAGGAUGAUCAGUCACACGAGUACUGAGAAACGGUCCAGACUCCUACGGGAGGCAGCAGUUGUGAUUAUUGGACAAUGGGCGAAGGCCUGAUCCAGCCAUGCCGCGUGUGUGAAUAAGGUCUUCGGAUUGUAAAGCACUUUGAGUUGGGAAGCGUUACCAACAGAAUAAGCACCGGCUAACUUCGUGCCAGCCGCGGCGGUAAUAC